CCAAUAGCGUAUAUUAAAGUUGCUGCAGUUAAAAAGCUCGUAGUUGAAUUUCGGAACCAAUAUGUCGGUCGUGCCUCGGUACGUACUGGCAUCGUUGGUUUCUCCUUUCUGAAGAACCAUGAUGUCAUUUAUUUGGUGUCGUGGGGAAUCAGGACUGUUACUUUGAAAAAAUUAGAGUGUUUAAAGCAGGCUCACGCUUGAAUACAUUAGCAUGGAAUAAUGAAAUAGGACGUUUGAUUCUAUUUUGUUGGUUUCUAGGAUUGACGUAAUGAUUAAUAGGGAUAGUUGGGGGCAUUAGUAUUCAAUUGUCAGAGGUGAAAUUCUUGGAUUUAUUGAAGACUAACUACUGCGAAAGCAUUUGCCAAGGAUGUUUUCAUUAAUCAAGAACGAAAGUUAGGGGAUCGAAGACGAUCAGAUACCGUCGUAGUCUUAACCAUAAACUAUGCCGACUAGGGAUCGGAUGAUGUUAAUUUUUUAAUGACUCAUUCGGCGCCUUACG
rnacentral:rRNA from 1 species